rnacentral:tRNA from 1 species
UGGGGCGUAGUAUAGAGGUUAGUAUAUUGAUUUCCAAAAUCAAUGGGGGUGGUUCGAUUCCAUCCGCCCCAG